CCUACGGGUGGCAGCAGUGAGGAAUAUUGGUCAAUGGGCGCGAGCCUGAACCAGCCACGCAGCGUGAAGGAUGACUGCCCUACGGGUUGUAACCUUCUUUUAUAAAGGCAUAAAGUGAGGCACGUGUGCCUUUUUGUAUGUACUUUAUGAAUAAGGCUCGGCUAACUCCGUGCCAGCAGCCGCGGUAAUACGGAGGAUCCGAGCGUUAUCCGGAUUUAUUGGGUGUAAAGGGAGCGUAGAUGGGUUGUUAAGUCAGUUGUGAAAGUUUGCGGCUCAACCGUAAAAUUGCAAUUGAUACUGGCAGCCUUGAGUACAGUUGAGGUAGGCGGAAUUCGGGGUGUAGCGGUGAAAUGCUUAGAUAUCACGAAGAACACCGAUUGCGAAGGCAGCCUGCUAAACUGCCACUGACAUUGAUGCUCGAAAGUGUGGGUAUCAAACAGGAUUAGAUACCCCGGUAGUC
rnacentral:rRNA from 1 species